rnacentral:rRNA from 1 species
UGGGGAGUACGGUCGCAAGAUUAAAACUCAAAUGAAUUGACGGGGGCCCGCACAAGCGGUGGAUUAUGUGGAUUAAUUCGAUGCAACGCGAAAAACCUUACCUGGCCUUGACAUGUACCGAAUUUAGCAGAGAUGCUUUAGUGCUCGAAAGAGAACGGUAACACAGGUGCUGCAUGGCUGUCGUCAGCUCGUGUCGUGAGAUGUUGGGUUAAGUCCCGCAACGAGCGCAACCCUUGCCAUUAAUUGCCAUCAUUUAGUUGGGCACUUUAAUGGGACUGCCGGUGACAAACCGGAGGAAGGUGGGGAUGACGUCAAGUCCUCAUGGCCCUUAUGGCCUGGGCUUCACACGUAAUACAAUGGUCGGUACAGAGGGAAGCCAACCCGCGAGGGGGAGCCAACCUCAGAAAGCCGGUCGUAGUCCGGAUUGUUGUCUGCAACUCGACAGCAUGAAGUCGGAAUCGCUAGUAAUCGCGGAUCAGCAUGUCGCGGUGAAUACGUUCCCGGGCCUUGUACACACCGCCCGUCACACCAUGGGAGUGGGUUUUACCAGAAGUAGUUAGUCUAUCCGCAAGGGGGACGAUUACCACGGUAGGAUUCAUGACUGGGGUGAAGUCGUAACAAGGUA